rnacentral:rRNA from 1 species
GAUGAACGCUGGCGGCGUGCCUAAUACAUGCAAGUAGAACGCUGAAGGAGGAGCUUGCUCUUCUGGAUGAGUUGCGAACGGGUGAGUAACGCGUAGGUAACCUGCCUGGUAGCGGGGGAUAACUAUUGGAAACGAUAGCUAAUACCGCAUGACAACAGUUAUUGCAUGAUAACUGUUUAAAAGGGGCAACUGCUCCACUACCAGAUGGACCUGCGUUGUAUUAGCUAGUUGGUGAGGUAACGGCUCACCAAGGCGACGAUACCUAUCCGACCUGAGAGGGUGAUCGGCCACACUGGGACUGAGACACGGCCCAGACGCCUACGGGAGGCGGCAGUAGGGAAUCUUCGGCAAGGGACGGAAGUCUGACCGAGCAACGCCGCGUGAGUGAAGAAGGUUUUCGGAUCGUAAAGCUCUGUUGUAAGAGAAGAAAGAGUGUGAGAGUGGAAAGUUCACACUGUGACGGUAUCUUACCAGAAAGGGACGGCUAACUACGUG